rnacentral:lncRNA from 1 species
ACUGAUUGUUAAAUCACUAAACAUCUUAUAUGAAGCAACACUUAUCUUGCAGACAUCUAAUAUGCAAUUCUAAUAAUAUGUGAAAUACUGAUUUUAUUUUUUUAGUUGUGUAUGUCAUUCGUGCAUCGAUUCCUUUUCUGAUGUACCAGCUCCCUAAUCAUGUUUUUGUCUUUCGGGUUGGUAUGUUAGGAGAACCUAGGCGUGCUAUGUGGGGAAGCAAAGCAGCAGCUCACAACUCCGGCCUGCAACUCCAGAUGAAGGCACCGCGACGAUGCAUCAUGCUACUCCCUUGGAAGGUCGGCUCCUGGACCGUAACUUUCUCUCAACUUGUGCUCUGCUUGAUACCAGUUCCUUGUAUUUCUCCCAACUUGUGCAAAUUGUAAUAUGCAAGGCUUCCUAGUCCAUGGCCUGCCUUCUGGAUGGAGCAAGGAGGGGGCAUCAUCCACACCGCGGAGCUGGUUGAGCCUUAG